rnacentral:rRNA from 1 species
UGUCCCUACGGGAGGCAGCAGUGGGGAAUAUUGGGCAAUGGGCGCAAGCCUGACCCAGCAACGCCGCGUGAAGGAAGAAGGCUUUCGGGUUGUAAACUUCUUUUCUCAGGGACGAAGCAAGUGACGGUACCUGAGGAAUAAGCCACGGCUAACUACGUGCCAGCAGCCGCGGUAAUACGUAGGUGGCAAGCGUUAUCCGGAUUUACUGGGUGUAAAGGGCGUGUAGGCGGGGACGCAAGUCAGAUGUUAAAACCAUG